AUGAUCUCUACAUCCCUACUGCUGCUGCUGCUGGCAGCCGUACACUGUGUUCACUGUGUUGAGCUGAUCCAGACCGGAUCCACAGUAUUAACUCCUGGUCAGUCACUGACUCUGACCUGUAAAGUGUCUGGAUAUUCAUUAACUGAUAGCAGCUACUGUACAGACUGGAUACGACAACCUGCAGGAAAAGCUCUGGAGUGGGUCGGAGAGAUAUGUGGUAGCGGUAACACUUUCUACAGUGAGAAACUGAAAAGCAGGUUUCAGGUUUCCAGAGACACGUCCAGCAGCACAGUGACAUUAACAGGGCAGAACAUGCAGACUGAAGACACAGCUGUGUAUUACUGCGCUCGUUACACACAGUGAGACAGAUAAACAACGUCCCUGUACAAAAACUCCAAGUACACUGAAACAGUGCUAGCUCCCAACAUCCUCCUUCAUUAAAAAAGAAAUAAUAAUGAUACCAGUUCUGACUACAGCACCGGAGCCUCAUGAACAAUUCGACAGUCGGUUUCUGAUUACAUUGAAUUGAUUAGGCUCAUGUUCAUUUCACUCAUGUUCAUUUCAGCUAUCAAUAUCUGACAUUCACCUGUGUGUGAGUAAAUCACACUUACAGCAAGGUUUUACAAAUCUUCAGACAGACUGACUGUUUGUUGAAUUUGCUUCUUACACACAUUUUCAUGCAUGGUUUCUUCACACUGUGGAGUUUUUUAACCUCCAAAAUUGUCCUUCACCUGCAUCUGAUGAGUUUUCCCAGACCGGCACACACAUCCAUUUUAUUUUCCAUUACGUUUAAUAGCCUCCGUAAUGAAAUAAUAAAUGAUUACAUACAAAAAUGGAAGGAAAAAUGUUUAAAAAUUCUAAACAUUUGAACAGUUGUGCAAAUUAUGUUCCAUUUUUACUGACAAUUCACCUGAAAAAGUUUACUCAACCUCUUGAACUGUAUACUGUAUAAUUAACCUGCACACACUUUAGAAAUAUUUGAACAUUAUACUUUUUGUUAAGAUUUAAGGCCUGUGAUGGUUGUUUUUUCUUUAUUCACACAACAUCUACCCAACAUUUUGAGGUUUAAAGGACUGAAGGUGUGU